GGAAUAUAAGAACCGGUCUCUUAACUUUUAAUUAAAAAAGUUAAGAACCAGCUCUUAAAACUCUUAUUUAAAAAUCGGUUCUUAGCUUUUUUUAGUUAAAGGUUAAGAGACAUGUUCUUAUAUUCC
rfam:Brassica napus, WGS project CCCW01000000 data, contig: 2367